rnacentral:rRNA from 1 species
UGAGUAACGCGUGAGUAACCUGCCUUCAAGAGGGGGAUAACAUUCUGAAAAGAAUGCUAAUACCGCAUGACAUAUCGGAACGCCACUGGUUUUGAUAUCAAAGAUUUUAUCGCUUGAAGAUGGACUCGCGUCCGAUUAGUUAGUUGGUGAGGUAACGGCUCACCAAGACCGCGAUCGGUAGCCGGACUGAGAGGUUGAACGGCCACAUUGGGACUGAGACACGGCCCAGACUCCUACGGGAGGCAGCAUG